rnacentral:rRNA from 1 species
AUGGUCCGACGGCUGAUCACCAAGUACGCUAUGCUCACGUCGGAGCGCCGGAGGCAGACCGCAGAGGAGAUCCAAGCACGGGGCGCCGCCUGCAUCGCAGUCGGGCUGCCUCUGGACUCGCCGAAGCCAGAGGAGGAGGAGCAGCAGCCGGAGGACGUGGAGGGAGAGCCGCUGCCCGAGCCGAUGGAGGUGGCGGAUCCGCAGGAGGAGGAGGUGGAGCAGCCUGCUCCGAGGAGGGGGCGGGGGGUCACCAUGGCGGAGGCAGAGGCGGAGUUCGCCGUCACACAAGCCGUGGAGAUGGCGGAGCAGCAGGCUAUUCUGGAGUCCAUCCAGGAUGAGGCCUAUGUGGAGGCCAACUGGCAGUUCCUUCGGCAGGAGCGGGCGGCGUCCGACACGCUCAUCGCCGAACUCGACGUGGAUAUAGAGGCGGAGGAGGCCGGAGUGGAGAAGCCGAAGGCACUGGAGCUGCCGCUGCCGUCCAUGUAUCCACAACCGGGCAGGGAGAUUGUCAACAUCUCCGCGGACGGGCCCGGGUGCGUCUGCGAGCGUUUGAGGAUUACUACAACUCAUCUCGAUAAUAAAAGCUCGCCGACAUGCAUCGGUUUAGCAGGGGUCCAGUAUAGUGCAUGCAUGCAUGGAAAAGAGGAACAAGCACCACAUGCUGGGCCUGGCUAA